rnacentral:lncRNA from 10 species
GGAAAAACAGGGCCACAGGCUGGGCAUGACACAUCUUGUUACCCAUGCAAUGUUGGGGUCAGAGAGUGUAGAGAGUGGUGUGGGGAGAGUGCAGGCUGAAGAGUUACCUAAGGUCAAAAUCCUGACCUAUGAGCCAAGCCAUCGAUUUGGGAUUUCUACUGAGGACACUGGAAGUCACUAAGAGCAUCUGAAUGCCUGGACCCACGCCUUCAUCAAUCUACUGUCAGGGAUAGAUUGUGCAUUUUCUGUGUCCCAGUGGGUGCCCCCCCCCCAAAAUAGAGCAGACAAAGCCUGGCCUGCGAGGGUACUGGUUUAGUUCAACAAAUAUCCAUAGAAUGCCCACUUAGGCAAAAUGGCAUAGGGCAGAUUGCCAAAAUCAGGGUUGACUCGGCCUGGAGCCAUGAAGUGGGUCCAACAGGUCUCUGAACUGAGGCAGGAGGCCCCAGGAUCCCGAGGUGUGCUGUAAAGCCUUUGAUGACAGCAUCUUGUGCCUAACACCUGACCACAUCUGAGCCACUAGAGACAGUACCUGAUAAGGAUGCAGAUGCCUGGGCCCUACCUUCCAAAGUUCUGGCUCAGUAGGUCUGGGGGAAGACCAGUAAUCUUCAUUUUAACAAAGACCACUGACGGUUCUGAUGCAGGUGGUCCAAGGACCACACCUGGAGAAACUUCCACCUCUAGGAGCAUCUGGGGUAAAAACUUCACCCAAACUUCCUAAGGUCACAACAUAUCCCCCCCAACAGAGGAAGCAGUAACUUUUGGCCACAGCCCCUAGAGAGGGGAUUUGCCUGGCGUUUCUAUACUGUCCUCUGUCCAAGGACAAAGUGUGCCUUACCCCACAACUGCUUUGUGGUUAAAAGCUUCUAUUGAGGGAUAGUUUAUUUACUUCUAGCACUAUGAAGCAAUAUAGUGAGGUUUUUGUUUCCUUUGAAUCCCAGUCAUUUUAUGCUGCAGAAAAUCUAGAGUUUUUGCCACAGUGGAGGACUCUGCUUAAGGACUACCUAUCUGGGUCUGGUAAUAGCUACCCCAACCCAACGGUCCUGAACGAGUAAUAUGGUUCGACUGUUUCCCUCCCCACCUCCAAAUCUCAUCUUGAAUUGUAGUUCCCAUAAUCCCCACGUGUUGUGGGAGGGACCUGGUGGGAGGUAAUUGAAUCAUGGGGGCGGUUAGCCUCAUGUUGUUCUCCUGAUAGUGAGUUCUCACAAGAUCUGAUGGUUUUAUAAGGGGUUUUUCCUCCUUUUGCUUGGCACUUCUUGCUGCCACCAUGUGAAGAAGGACAUAUUUGCUUCCCCUUAUGCCAUGACUGUAAGUUUCCUGAGGCCUCCUGAGCCAUGUGGAACUGUGAGUCAAUUAAACCUCUUUCCUUUAGAGAUUACCCAGUCUCAGAUAUGUCUUUAUUAGCAGAGUGAGAAUGGGCUAAUACAAUGAGAUAGAACUUAAAUCCCCUGCAUGCUCAUCAGAGGAGGCUCCAUAGAAGAUCAUGGACCUUGAACAAGGUGCAAGUAAGCCUAGAUGCAAUGCAAUGGAUUAGGGAUUCCAGGCUUGAAAACCAGUGGGAAGGAAGGGGUCAGGUGGGAGUGGUCCUCAGUUCCUGUGUGGGCUCUGGCAUCAGGCAGCACACAGGAGUCUUCCCUGCUGGUGGGGAGAGAAAGAGGCAGUAGAAGGGGUCCCGAGCUGGAAGGAUCAGCAGCCACUGCAGACUACUGAUGGAGGCAGUGCCAGGGAGGAAGAGGGUCGUGCCUAGUGGUGUCCAGGCAUUGGCAUGCAGGAGGCAGUCCAGGCACUGGUACCCGGGAGAGUUAAAACUGGGGGAAGGGAAGACAGCAGGGGAUUCUCACAAGGAAUGUGGAGCAGAGGCCCAGGCAGGGGGCCAUCAAGGUGGAGAGGACUGAACCUGGAAAUGGAAGCUUUCCAAGUCACACAUUGAAGAGUAUCAGCAAGGUCUUAAGCCCUGGAACAGUGAGGGAUGGCAUCAGGACAAACUGAGGUCAGUGAGUGUGUUGGCAGCGGACCAGGCUCCGAACGGCACAAACUCCGUCUGGGAUGGGGAAUCUAGCAGAAGACCUAGGAAGAAUUUGAAGAGGGUUCAGAGGUGAAUUAGGGAUGCUUGUAGCUUUUGUGUGGGCAGUGCGUUACUGGGGUGUAGUCCUCAUUGAAGGCCCAAGAUUCUGCCUCUAAGGGUGUAACUCUGCUGAAUCCAGCACCUGAGAGGCUGUCCAGAGCAGGCAGGAGGUCAGCUGUCAGGCUGUGGGCCCAGUUUUAGAGUCAAAUUGAAUUUCCAGUGGGGAAGACCAAAGCUGAAGUCCAUCCCCCAGAGGAUGAGAGAAAGGAAGGCUGCAGCUCAGGCAGCUCAGGGAGUCUGAGGCAGCAAACGAGCUCUGGACCUUGAAGUGGGGAGAGGAAGUCCUUUCACCUCAUCACAGUGCUCACAUCACCUCAGAAACCAGGUGGGACACACAGCUGUGACAGGAUACUGGAUCAUACCCCAAGAGAAAGGGGAGCUCCAAUGGAAAAGCCACCUGCAUCAUGAUGCUGCCUGUCACUUGACUGAGCGUUCCUGCUGCCCAGAAGCUCCUGUUGUCCUCCCAACUGACGGGAUGCUCUUGGACAGUGAUGCCAGCUGGAAUUAAGACUGGGUUUCCAAGGCCACUGUGACCACCAUGAUUAAUGUGAGUAUCGCCAGGUCUUCUCCACACAGGCCCCCUCAGCAUGGUUGUCCCCAAAGCCCUGACCCCAGCUUUUCCUGGUUUUCUGCUUCCUUUAGCAAUCCCUACUGCUAGGGCUCCAACAUGCCUCAGCCAGAAAGCUGUCAUCUCUUUCCUGGGAACAUUCCUUAAGAAAGAACCAUCAUGGGGUUGGAUGAAACUAAACUUGCAAAGAAGGUGAUGUGUAACCAAGUUGGAGUGUGGAGUGUGGGGUCAAAGAUGAUGGCAUUCUGUGUGGAUCCGCAGUGGUAGGAAUGGAGGUGAGGAGGAAGAAAUGAAUCCAGGAGGCAGCGUGACAGAAAACACAGACUUUGGUGACGACAUGUGAGAAGCUGUAAACUGAUAAGAAGAAAAGACGUCUCCAGCACGUUUGGGUUAGUGUCAUCAACCCAUGGAUCCUGCCCACAGCAAGACUUGGCCCAGUCACAACCCCCUUUCUAGCAAUGUGGAGAUAAAUGUCUUCAACAGAAAGGGUUGGGAAUCCCAUGUGACAGCCGAGCUCUGUUCUGCCUUUGACAGAGUCUGAUGCGAAGUGGAUCAUCUCAGGGAUGUGCCUUGCUGGCUUCACCCACCUGGAGCCUCAGGGGAAGUCUCAGGUGGGAGAUGUUAAUUUGAGAGGCCUGGGUAUAAAAGUAAUCCCAAGAUGUCACAAGAUAGAAUACUUUCUCUGAGGCACAAACAGGGAGAAAAACAAGAACAGAACCCCUUAGCAGGACACUCAUAAUAAGAAGAAUUAGGAAAAGAAAAGGGAACCCGGGGUGACACAAAACUGGGGGAGUCUGUUACCACAAGGUAGAUGGCUACCUCCAGUUGGACAAAUUUCCAUGGACCACCAUGCAAUUUCUGGAGAUGCCGCCUUUGAUCCCCUCUUCUCCCUUUGCUCCUCCCUCAUCUCCACACUCAAAGUGCACAUUAUUCAGAUGUCCAGCACGCCCCUAAAUCAACUUGACUUCUCUUGUUCCUUGGCAGAUUCAAGGACCAGCCUUCAUUGGAUUUGGGGUGGAAGCUACAUGCUUGUGUCAAGGGUUGUAAUCCCAAGUCUGGUCCUGUUUUCUGCAAACAAUAUCAUUGUAAACACAUUGAAUGUGUCUGAAUGGGAUUCACAUAACCUAUUCAAAGGUUAAUAUCACAAGACUGAUACUGAGCUGGAAGCUCUGAAAUGUACUUGUGCUCAGGGAAGAUAUUUGCUAAUGUUUGGCUUUAAUUUCCCCUGGAACUUGUACACAUCAGUGAGGCCUGGGGAUAAUGAAUAACAGCAUGGACAAUAAAUUUUAAAACAAACAAAAUAAAAACUCAAAGAACAUUAAUGCAGACCAGUGCUGGGAUAUGAUGUGUGUUACAAGAGAGUAAUGAUUACUCUUGGUGAGCAGAUUCUAUUAUCUGCUUCUUAGGAGCAAUAGGUGGCUGCCUCUUGAUUGUAUUAGUCCUGGAGUUAUAAAAUCCUCAGUCCUUUACAAUGCAAAAGUGACACAUGGGGCGAGUAAGCAGGUAAGAGAAGGAGCAAUUGGAGGAAGAGAAAUGAGAUCUGUGGCAGGGGCUAUUGGCUUUCCACUAAAACCCAUUCUCUACUUCUUGCUGGGCAAGAACUAGGCAGUAUUUACCAGCCCCUCUUGCAUUUGGGGUGGCCACAAACGAAUUCUGGCCAGUGGAGUGAGGGGCUUCUCAGACAGCAGCCUGCCCCUUCCACACUCCUGUUCCCCUUGCAGUGGCUCAAAGCCCUUGGGUGAUGAUGGAGCCAUAGCUGGAAGAAGCCUGGGUCCCUGGGUCCCCCGUGGAGCCUCCACGCGGGAAGGUGGUCUAGAAAUACACUUCCAUAUUUCAGCCAGCAUGCCUUGGGAUCUUUUUUUAAUGGUGGUUCAGCCUACCCUAACUAAAGCUGGGCCCACUCAGCACGCCCCACACAGGGAUUCUGAAAUGGGAGCAGGGUCCACCAAAACUCUGCUUUUCAGAGAGCUCACACCCUAGGGGAGUAUAAAAGUGACGAGGACACUGGAGCUGGCAGGCAAGACCCAGGAUGCCAAAAUUAGGGCCCCUAAACACAGCAGGGAGGGUGAGCUAUCCUCUUGUGAGGUGGGAGGAGGGUCUCCGUGAGCAGGGCUCUUCUUGGGCCAAACCUGGAUCAUGAGGAGGAGGGAGAGAUGCUGAAUAUGACAUGUCAUUCAAAGUGCUGUCUGGAAAUUUGAGUUCGUUUCUUCAGUAGAGGCAGCACAGGUUAAUCAGACAAACCAGCCAUCAACAGGCUUCCUUUGAGGAGCUUGGUAAGAAUGGAAAACCCAGGGCUGAGGGGCUUACAGAGCUUACAGAGCAGCACAGUAUCAGGGGCCCAAGGCACCAGGAGCUCCUCUGGAAAUUGGCGGGAACAGCUGGAGCAAAGCCGAGGUGAUGGUACCCCUGGUGGCGGGACGGCAGCGACCCUCCAUGGUAUAAGGAGUGGUGAGACCCCAAGGGACAGUGUGCAAGGACUCUGAUGGCAGCAACACUCCUCUAGGAGCUGAUGAGAAAGGCCUGGAAUCCCAAGAUGCACCCCUGAGGUUCAACUCCUACCCUGAUCAUCUCCUCCAAGAUUCUGUGACCUGGGGAAGUCAACAGUACAUUUCAACACCUAUGAUGUCAGCAUGUGAAUGACAUUCCAAUGCUGCUCAUGGGGUCACCCCUGCAAAGGUGAACUCAGUGGAAAGACCUUGCCAAACCGGAAGGAAAACAGGAUACUUUUCUCCAAAAUACUCAUUCAAUAAAUAUUUGCUUAGGCAUUACAAAGACAAAUAAGACUUGCCCCUACCUGUUAGAGGUAUGUAUGUCGAGAAAAGGAAGGAGUGAUUCAAUAAGAGAAACAGCAUUCAGGGAAGAGAAAGAAGGAAGACAUAAAAAUUCAGGUCAUAUUAGAAUAAUAUAUAUAACAAUGAGUUUGGCUAUAUUUCAGAAUUUUCCCAAAAUAUUUCUUUCAAAUUUGAUUGACAUUCUAAACUAUUUAGCUUGAUAUAAAUGAGAUCUUUGUGUACCCUCAGCAGGAACUGCAUUUUAGCUGGUUUUAAAUCUCAACAAUCACUUUCCUGCCUUGGAGAAGGUAUGAACCAGGCUGUUUAUGUAGAAUCCAGGUGGGUUUGAGAGCAGCUUCAGCUGAAUGGAGAGUGACAGGGAGGCUGAGGAAGGGAGGGAGGGGACCCAUGGGCUGUCAUACCCGGGGACUUAGGAAGGCUCUUGCUCUUGCUGGAAGGGUUGCAAAUCCCUAAACCAAGUAAUCCCAUCCCUAAACCAAGUAAUCCCAUUAAAACAUGAAACAUCCAGAGUAAAAUUAAGUUUAGAAUACUAUUUGCAAAGCCAAACAUAGUCUUACCAUAGGAUCCAGGCAUCACACUCCUUGGUAUUUACCCAAAUGGGUUGGAAACUUCCAUAUAAAAAUCUGCACACAGGCCGGGUACGGUGGCUCACGCCUGUAAUCUCAGCACUUUGGGAGGCUGAGGCGGAUGGAUCACCUGAGGUCGGGAGUUCAAGACCAGCCUGACCAACAUGGAGAAACCCUAUCUCUGCUAAAAAUACAAAAUUAGCCAGGCGUGGUGGCACAUGCCUGUAAUACCAGCUACUCAAGGGGCUGAUGCAGGAGAAUUGCUUGAACCCAGGAGGCAGAGGUUGCGGUGAGCCGAGAUUGUGCCAUUGCACUCCAGCCUGGGCAACAAGAGUGAAACUCUGUCUCAUAAAAUAAAUAAAUAAAUAAAUAUAAACCUACACACAGGCCAGGCAGGGUGGCUCACCCUGUAAUCUCAGCACUUUGGGAGGCCGAGGCGGGUGGGGUGGAUCACGAGGUCAGGAGAUCAAGACCAACUUGGCCAAGACGGUGAAACCUCAUCUCUACUAAUAAUACAAAAAUUAGCUGGGCAUGGUGGCACAUGCCUGUAAUCCCAGCUACUCAGGAGGCUGAGACAGGAGAACCGCUUGAACCAGGGAGUCGGAAGUUGUGGUGAGCCGAGAUCACACCACUGCACUCCAGCCUGGUGACAGAGUGAGACUCUGUCUAAAAAAAAAACCUGCACACAAAUAUUCAUGGUAGCUUUAUUCAUACUUGCCAAAACCUGGAAGCAACCAAGAUGUCCUUCAAUAGGUGAAUGGGUAAAUAAACUGUGGUACAUCCAGACAAUGCAAUAUUAUUUGGUGAUUAAAAAAAAAGAAAUGAGUUAAAAUCUUGGAUUUCUUUUUUUUAAAUGAGUUAUAAAGCCACAGAAAGACCUUAAAUACAUAUUGUUAAGUGAAAGAAGCCAGCCUGCAAAGCUACAUCUAUACAUGACUGUAUGACAUUCUAGAAAAGGCAAAACUAUAGAGACAGUGAAAACAUCAGGGAUUGCCAGGGGUUAAGAGGGAAGGAAGGAUGAAAAGGCAGAGGACAGAGGAUUUUAAGGCCGGUGAAACAAUUCUAUAUCAUACCAGAAUGGUGGAUAUAUGGGCUGGGGCUCAGAAAACAAUACCCCCAAAUGAAUGCCUCAGAAGCAAAAGUUUCUCCUGCCCUCCCAUCCCUGACCUCAUUCUCCCCCAAGGUUAGCCAUAGAAACCAGAAGUCCUCUUUCCCAAGGUGGGUCAUAGAAACUUCCAAACCCCUUUUCCCCAAAGCCAGUCAUAAAACCUAAAAAUAUGACUCUAACUUCCACCCCCACCCCACCACCUUUCUGUGUAAAAAUGUGUCAUAAGGAAAUCAUCUAACCUGCCUUGUUUGGUUGUCGGUCGUAAGACCCCCAUUCGAGAGAGGGCCCUGCCCCGUACCCAGCAGGAAGCAAUGCUGCCCAGAGAGGCCACGAGGAAUCUAGACAGGGCUUGCUGGGGGGCCCCACUCACUCUAUGAGCAUUAGCUCAUUCCCUUUUUUGUCCAAUCACAUUUCUAAAUAUUUUGUUGCACCUAAGCUUAAAAGUGGGCAGAGUCCCCUGCAUCUCUGGGUCUUCGUUCUGAAGGCUCCCCUGUCAUGUAACACUAUGACCAAAUAGAUGUGUGUGCCUUUUCUCCUAUUCAUCUGCCUUUUGUCUGUUAAUUUUCAGUGAAACUUCAGAGGGUGAAGGGGAAGUUUUCCUUGGCCCCUACACGUGUCAUUACAAACCCAUAGAAUGUACAAUGCCAAGAGUGGACCUUAGUGCAAGCCAGGGACAUUAGUCAGUAAUAAUGUUCCACGCUGACGCACAAAUGAAAGUUAUUUUAUUUGUGUGAACAGGAGAGCUGACAUGGUCUGUAUUGAUAUCUCCUGGGCAGGGAGGUGGUGAGCACGGCCCCAGAAUUCUGAACUGCCAGGAGCCAGGCAGCUUUGCAUCCUGGAGCUUGGCCAAUUCAGCCGCCCAAGUUCUGGCCAUGGGUCUGCAGCCCCCUGGCCCUUGCCUGCAUAAGCAGGAGAUGAAUGAGAGGAAGCAGAACUCACACAGGAGGCAGGAGGAAGCCACCAGGAAGCUCACUGGCUCCAGGGGCAGCAGAUCUGGGAUGGGGUCCCAGUUCUCUCCUUCCUCAUUCAUGAAAUGGGGCAAUAACAGUACUUACUUCAUUGGAGGUUCUUGGAGGGAAUAAAAGAGAUAUUAGUUAAAGGCAUGGAGCACAGUCCCUGGCACACUGAAAAAGUUUCAUAAAUGUUACCAAUUAAUUGUUUGUAUUAUAUAAUGUCUUCCUGAUAGGUUUUUGGGAAGGAAUAAAUCAAAGGUGAGAAAAUAUAUACAAAAACCUGACUGAGCGAGAACAUAGCUUACACACAAGAAGUGGCAGCUUGGUGAGCACACUGCUAUGUCAUGUUGUGCCUAGUCAUGACAUAGCCAAGGACUGAUACAGGCGCUCCCAUAACCCAUGGAUGGAUUCCUGCUGGACUCUAUUCAUGAAGGUUCUGAUUCUAAUUUUUUUAAAUCCAUGGAUAAAACAGCUACCAGAAAAUCCCAUUUGGGUUUGCAUGUUGUUCUUUGGCUUCGGUGGACAGCAAUCAUAUCAGUUGCAUUUCCCGAGCUAGAGCUCUGAGGCUUAGUCAUCCCCCUCCCUGGCUGGCUUCCAUGCUGUCUGCAGUGGGAGCAUCUUUUAUGAGAUGACAGGAGGGGACUUCAUGGAUGUGCAGCCUGGGCUGCUGGUACUGCCGGGGCUGCUGGUACUGCUGGGACUGCAGGAGAGGGAUGGUUUCUAUUAAUCCUCACAAUGGGAGGGUCCAGUGGGCUGUCACAGCACAGGCAGGGAAUCACAGGCCUCCCUGGGUGACCAGCUGUCCUGGCUGCUACCAGAUUCGGACUCCAGCAGGCUUUCCCUGGGGGCAGAGAUGACCUUGAUCUCUGGGCAGCUAGGCUUCAUGUCCUUGAUAUUUGUGGCCCUGCAUUGUUGGGGCACAGGAUGCAGAGCUGGGGAUGACUGAGCUUAAACUCCUGCUGCUAUGGAGGGCUGCCUCCUUGCCCUGAAUGCCCUGGGAGCCCUUUUAAAAACACAGGUCCAAGGAGUGAUAACAUGAGGGGCAGCACCUCUGGCCCCUGAGAGAGAAACUUGUCCAGUGAUAUGUGCACAAGCAACAUCUCCAGGCAUUCCUUCCAGACAAGGCAAGAGGCCCCCCAGGUGUGAUAUGUUAGCUACACAUGGGCUUGGUCUGUACUGCAAAUGUGUACUCAGUGAUGGGGCCAUUAGAUAUUUGGUUUCUACAUUGCUGCGAUGAAAAUUUACAAAGAACGUUCAUGGGGAAACCAGCUCCCAUCCAUGGGCAGCAGAGGAAUGUUGUCCAAGACUUACAUGGACAGGUAAGACUAAGGUCUCAUCCCAUACUCAGCAGUUCUGUGACCUUUUACAGAACAUAGGGAGGCAAGAAGGGAAAUGAGCCUUAGUUAGCCUCAGGGAGAACCAAGCCAGGUCUGUUUAGGGUCACCACCUUCACUGAACUGCCCUCCACUGGAGGCUAGGAACUGCAGGACAUGAGUUCAACAUCAAAAUAGUAAAAAUAGUGGCAAAUGUUUAGCAGUGUUUGCAACAUAUCAGGUGUCACAGCAACCUCUGCAGGAGAGGUGAGCAGGGCUAAUAUUUAGCAGGUGCACCCUUGUACUGGCUGCCUGCCAUUUAAUAGGUUAGUGCCUCAGCUGGUUAUUGAAUAUUUUCAACAUCGGCCCUGGGUACUAAGAUUAGUUCCCAUUUUACUGAUUAGGAAAUCGAGGUUAAGAGAGGGUAGGCGAUUUGCCUGAGAUCACACAGCCUCGUGUGUGGCAGAGCCUUAGAUUCCAAGCCAGGCUGUCCGAUGCCAGACCUUCACAGCUAUCCUAUGCUUCCACGGCACCCCGGACUUCCCCUUGGAGCACUUGCCAGUGAAACAAACAUGCCCUGGAGAAAUGCCUGGGUUAUGUGAAGUUGGCAGUUCCCAAGGGCUUUAGGCUUGAAGCUGUGGGUCAUACCCCUUCGGAAACUUGGUCCCCAAGAGAAAUGUAUGCUUCUGAAAACCACAGGUGCAUGAAUCGUGUUUAGUAAAUGACUACUAAACUGAAAUCAGGACUUGUCUAUAUCUUGGCUUCUCAAACUUGAAUAUGCUUAUCAUCUGGAUAGCAAAAGCAUUCCUACACGUUGAGGCCUGCCAGCGUGGGUGUCACCCAGGAGCCACUCGGAAAGGCUCAUCGGAAACCACCCCGGACUGACUGAGGCAGAAUCUCUGGGGGCAGGACCCAGGCCUCAGCAUAAAAACUCCAGGUGACGGAAGAGCUCCCACCUAACAGAGACAGUCUUGCCAUGUUGCCCAGGCCCUGUUGACCAGGAAAAAAAAAAGUUUUUUUUCUUUUUUAAAGAAAGAAAAUAAAAGAGACUGAGAAACCACAGAAAUAAAGAAGCGCUGAUGACAAUGCCUGCUUGCUGAUGGUUACGAUGAUCAUAGCAGUGUGCAUUUUGUAUGCAUGAAGCCUGCGACUAAAUAAACGUGUGGGGAAAUAUUUGUAAGGAAAUAAGCUAUUAAUAAAAUAAGCUAAAAUCACAGUUGCUGGACUAUGACUGAUUUUUCCCCUUUCUCUCAUUUAAAAUUAAAUAUUUGUAUGACUUGUAUAAUAGAAAAAUACAUGUAUUCAAUCUUAAAAAGAUAUUCUUAUUUUACACUUUACGGGACAAAAGAGGUUGUAGGUUGGAAUGGUUCAGUCCCCUUGUGACAACUCAAAAACAGAGACCUUAAGCCUUUCUCAACCAAUGUUGCGGGACAAGCAGGCGUGUGAGGCGACAAUGCCAUUAGGGUAUUUUUUGGAAAAAUUUUAGUGUGAGAGACAAAAGCCAAAUUCAAACUGGCCUGAGCCAAAAUAGGUAGGAAAGGGAGAAGCGGAGACAGGGAGGAAGAAAGAGAGAGAACAGAAAGAAAAAGGGAGAAAUGUCGAAAGGCAAAAUUACAACACAUUUAGUUAAAUGAUUGAAUUGGUUUUUAUUUGUAAUUCAUGAAUUGGGGCAGCAUCUCCUCUAAAACUUUAGGAAAAGUGCUCUGAUGAGCUAAACAGAGAAGCUUGGCUUUAUAGGCAGAAAAGGGUGAAGAAAGCAGACACAGGGAACAAAAAGCAGAUUGGUAAGCUCAGGUUACUUCAGGUUACUUUCCUUAUAAAGGUUAAAGUAGAGGGGACUUCCUUAUCAUGCUGGCUACAACUGGCCUGUUUGGGGAUUUGCAUAUUAUCUCUCUCUGUCUUGAGUUCUGGGAAGGUCUGAUGACUUAGUUUCAGUUUGGUGAUAUGGAACUUAGCAUGAGUGACUCCAUCUUGGUUUGGUCUACUGGGGCCUCCUGCAGGAGCUCAGCCCAAAUCAGUGACCUCCUAUAAAUUUCAUUUAAUAGAAAAGGAAGGAAGGAAGGAAGGAAGGAAGGAAGGAAGGAAGGAAGGAAGGAAGGGAGGGAGGGAGGGAGGGAGGGAGGGAGGAAGGGAGGAAAGAAGGAAGGAAAGAAAGAAAGUUGCUUAUAAGUUGCUUAUAACUAAAAAGACCAGCUGGACCCAGGAGCUCUGAGGUUGCUUUCAGGCCUCUGUCCAUCUCUUAGUUUUCCAUCCUCAGACAGGCUCUGCCCUGCCUUACAGUCUAGCAUUGUUGGCCAAAGGUGACUGACUGGCCCAGCUUGGGCUAUAUGUCCUUCCCUGUGGCCAGAGAGAUGUGUCUCUGUGAUGGCCAGGCUUGGGUCACGUACUCCCUCCCCUACCAGAAUCACAUGAAAAGAGGGAGGAAGAGCCGCUUUCCACCAAAGGAAACUGAAGUGCUAUUGUCAGAGGGGUUGCUGGGCAGACCAAAAAGAUGACAAUAUCUGCUCCAAUCGCUCGGGUUGUUGGUGCUUGGCAGAUUUGCCCCUACGUCACUUUUCAGAUGUGGAUAAGACUGAAGGUGACCACAGGCUUCCGAGAGGAAAGCUGCCAAUGGGGGUGUGAGAGGAGGGGGAAUUCUUACUCACCAAGGUUAACACUGUGCACACUGUUCUCCGAGGAAGUGGGAAUUUCCACAUGGUGAGUUCCCUUCCCUGUACAAUGAAUUACUAUCUUGAUGAGAAACCCGUGGGCAGCUGGUUGAGAAGAGAAAGGUAUUCUCUGAAUGAGAGGGAAUUUACCACCUUCCUUUCAAUGGUGACAGUUUUUUCUGGUGUCACCGCAGGGUGUGGAUUGAUUCAUAUACAAAUAUACAUAUCUACAUAGAUGCCAUUCUGCUAGCCUCUGCAAAAUGCAUGCCUGGAGACCAUUUCUGCUGCCUAGGAGAUGUCAACUUUGUCACCACCACUCUCUCUCCACCACUCCCACACCCUGCAGGGGCCAGGUGUGUGGGUGGGGAGCUCCCCAGCUGGAGGCCAGAUUAGAGGUCUCUGUGUGGUGGGGAUGGGGAGGAUGGGGUGGGAAUGAGGUGGUAGGCCACUGGCAGUGGUCCAAGUUCCAUCCAGGAUCUGUCCUAGGCCUCUCCCCAGGCUGUCGCUUCCACCAUUGAAUUUCUAACCUGGAUCUCUAAGGUUAUGAAUAUCUCAUUCCCGCAUCCUGGGGUGCUCAGACAUGUCUCCCCUGAGUCUCUAGCUGGGCUCGUGGCUGUGAUCAUUGUCCUCAGAGUUCCAUCCUCCCAACAAAGGGACAGAAGAAACACAGGGCCCACUUUUCUGGAUUCUGAGUUGGAGCCAAGAAAUUCUAUCUGCUGCUUCCUUCCUGUUGAAUUAUCCCCCAAGGACCCCUUAGUCCCUCCAGUCUCCUCCAGAGGCCUAUAGCUGCCCCAGCUCCCCAUGAUGGAUACCUGGCUCUUUCCUACCCAGAGGAAAACGCAGGCCCUUCCCCAGCCCUGCACUGAACUCCUGUGAGUGGCUGAGGAGAUGAGGAGGUGUGAAGAGUGAGUGUGUUGGGGAGGGAGGGGUCCCCUGCCACCAGGUACCAAGGACUUCUGCCAGAUCACCAGAACUGACACCUGGUUCCACCGGCCAGCUGUGAAGUGUCGGCCCUGACAUCAACAGCUGACCUCCCACAGGGCCUAAGGAAACGGAAUUGUGG